rnacentral:rRNA from 1 species
GAUGAACGCUGGCGGCGUGCCUAACACAUGCAAGUCAAGGAGAAGUUUCACUUCGGUGAAAUGGAUACUGGCGCACGGGUGAGUAACACGUGGAUUAUCUGCCCUUUACACAGACAUAACUCAGGGAAACUUGAGCUAAUAUCUGAUGAGGCCUCCGGGUCAAAGCUUCGGCGGUAAAGGAUGAGUCUGCGUCUGAUUAGCUAGUUGGUAAGGUAAUGGCUUACCAAGGCGACGAUCAGUAACUGGUCUGAGAGGACGAUCAGUCACACUGGAACUGAGACACGGUCCAG